rnacentral:ncRNA from 1 species
AUUUUAACUAUGAAGGAGACAGUAGCCCUUUAUGGUUACAAUUCAGAGAGCAGACUGGCUGGUGAAAAGUCUGCAGUACAUAAAGAGGCGAAUUACACUCUGGAGUUUCAAUGUGAAAGCAUUGCGUAGGCUGCACGUUACAGCAGUUAAGAGGCAUCUUUGAUGCGAAGUAAGGUGGUACCACGGGUCUUCCUCCGUCCUUAUA